UAAUAAAGGCUAUUAAUACCAAAGACAGUAACUGGGAAAUUCCCUUAAUUUGUUACCGAGGAUUAAAAUAAACAUUUAUUAAAUAAAUCAAACAUUAAUUUAAAAAAUGUAUUUUUACGUUUCCCUCGGUCUUUGCAUUAAGAACCGAGGGUUUUGUUUUACAAAA
rfam:Mesoplasma florum L1 complete genome.